UUUGUUUUAAAGGGUCCGAGAGU
rnacentral:piRNA from 1 species